rnacentral:lncRNA from 1 species
CGCGGCGCCCGAGCCCCUGACAGCGCCAUAAAUUGGCCGUGCAAAGCCGAGCGCUAGGUGGUCCCCCCUGGAGAAAAGAGCCGCCGCCGAGGGCGCGAAAAGGCGAGUCCGGGAGCCCGCCAGGGAGCGAGUGGCGCGUUUUCCAGAUCACCUUGUUGGAACUUAGCGUAGCAGAGGAAGAACACCAUGGAAUAAGGAGAAAGGAGAUACAAGUAGCCUCUCCAGGAAGAAUGUGACUGAAUACUUUUUAUACAAAACCACAAAAUUAGAUAAAUAUGUAUUUAAGUGUUAUUCCUGAAAGCUGGAGAAAGAAAUGUUACUUCUAAGAAUUGUUUAGCGAAGGAAUAAGAAAAUGUGAUGCUUGGAAGAAAAAACACACUGCCGAGAGGCCUUGCUGCUGAGUGUGCUGAACAAUAGACAACCUCUAAGGAUGCUCGCCUGCAAUUCCGGCUCUGCCAUCAAUUCACUGUAUGCCUUUGGAAACUUGAAAAUUACACAUCUGACUUAAGUCUGUGGGAGCCACAGUGCUGUAGAGGGUCUUGCACUGGCAAUUGAAUGCUGCACCUCAUUGGCUAGAAUCAGUCACAUGACCACACCCAAUCUCAGGAAGGCCAGAAAAUGCAAUCCCACAAUGCAGCUGGAAGACAGCUAACUGGAAAUCAAUGCUGAGAAGUCCUAAGAAAUGCCACAGAAAGAGAAAGAGUAUGCAACUAAGACAUGCCUGAGUGAAGUUUCCUAGGA